rnacentral:rRNA from 1 species
UACAGAGGUCUCAAGCGUUGUUCGGAUUCAUUGGGCGUAAAGGGUGCGUAGGCGGCGCGGUAAGUCGGGUGUGAAAAUUUCGGAGGCUUAACUUCGAAACUGCAUUCGAUACUGCCGUGCUCGAGGACUGGAGAGGAGACUGGAAUUUACGGUGUAGCGGUGAAAUGCGUAGAUAUCGUAAGGAAGACCAGUGGCGAAGGCGGGUCUCUGGACAGUUCCUGACGCUGAGGCACGAAGGCCCAGGGGAGCAAACAGG